rnacentral:rRNA from 1 species
GAUGAACGCUGACAGAAUGCUUAACACAUGCAAGUCAACUUGAACUUCGGUUUGGGUGGCGGACGGGUGAGUAACGCGUAAAGAACUUGCCUCACAGAUAGGGACAACAUUUGGAAACGAAUGCUAAUACCUGAUAUUAUGAUUUUAGGGCAUCCUAGGAUUAUGAAAGCUAUAUGCGCUGUGAGAGAGCUUUGCGUCCCAUUAGCUAGUUGGAGAGGUAACGGCUCACCAAGGCGAUGAUGGGUAGUCGGCCUGAGAGGGUGAUCGGCCACAAGGGGACUGAGACACGGCCCUUACUCCUACGGGAGGCAACAGUGGGGAAUAUUGGACAAUGGACCAAGAGUCUGAUCCAGCAAUUCUGUGUGCACGAUGAAGUUUUUCGGAAUGUAAAGUGCUUUCAGUUGGGAAGAAAAAAAUGACGGUACCAACAGAAGAAGUGACGGCUAAAUACGUG